UUGACAGAGCAAUGGGGGUCGGGGAAGCACAAGCAGGUGGAGGGGCAGACGGAGAAGCAGGCUCCCAGCCGAGUUAGGAGCCCAACACUGGCCUGAUUCCCACGACCCUGAGAUCGUGACCUGAGCUGAAAGCAGCCACUUAACGACCAAGCUGCCCAGGCGCCCUCGGAGUGUUACUCUUAAUUCUAUUUGGGGCUGCCUGUCAGCUUCUAUUACCCUUUCCACUUGUCCUUUCAUUGUUUCCUUCUGUUGCUUCGUUAGUGUUGCCCGUCUUCUGCUUCCCUGAGGAGUAGCCGCAUACGUGUAUCUGUGUGUGUAGCUGGCUGGGGUCUUUGCUGUGCUCCUGGAUGACAGAGGCCCCAGGCCACUUAGAGCGAUUCCCUCUGUGCCAUCUGGAAUGUCCCCGAGUGUGGGUCUGUUGGUGAAGAACUCUCCGUUCUUAUUUGUCUGAAAAUACUUUUAUUUUACUUUGCUCCUUUAAAUACUGUAUGUUCUUUUCCAGGUUUAGAAUUCUAGGUUGCCAGUAAUUUUCAGCCUGUGAAGCUGUCGUGCCAGUUUUCCGGCCUCCACUGGUCCUCUGAAGCCAGCGGGGUCACUCCUGGAAAGGUAAAGGGAAUGAAUGGCUCCCUGCCUGCCCCACUGCUUUUAAGAUUUUCUCUUUGUCUUUGGUUUUCUGCAGUUCACUCUACCACGUCUACGGCUGGAUUUCUUUUCACUUACCCUAUUUGGGAUUUGUUGAGAUUUUUGUGUCUUGGAUUACUGUCCUCUAUCACUUGUAGGAAAUUCUUGGUCAUUAUCUCUUCAAAUAAUAACCUCCUCAUACUCGUGUCAUCUGAAGCCACAAUGAAAUAUUUUGGAACUUUGUGUACACCACACUUGGUUUCCACGGUGCACGGAGAUUUCUGCUGAUCUCUGCAGUUCCGGUUCCCUCAUUUUCAUCGCUGGUGUGUCAUCUAAACCUGUCUCAGGUUUUUACCUGCCAUGUACUUUUUUCCCUGGUGUUGGUCCCUUCGGUUGUUCCGACGCUUUGAUAAACGUGCCGGCGGGACUCCUCCAGCACCGGCAUCGUCCCAGCGGCUGCCUGAGCGCAGAGACGGUCGGAGUGUCGAGUCGCGGGCACAAGGGGGAGUGGGAUUCUGGCUGCGUCAGGACCGCUCGUUCCGUUUUCAGUAGGUUAUGAAAUGGGAAUUAUGGAAACUGAAUUUUUCCUUACAUCAAGAAUGGAUGUUUAUCAAAUUUUUAUCAAAUAUUUCUUCCUUCUCUGUAGUUGCUAGGAUUUGUGCUUUUUAUUAGGGUUAUCCUUGCCUCACUUUUUUUUUUUAAAUGAUAAAAGAAUCAUUUUAGGUUAUUUAGAAAAUAGAGAAACGCCCCAGCUCAAACCCACGCCUGCUAGAGCGGCACGAAAUACCCUCAAGCGGAUGAGUCCGCCGCUGCAGCCGCUGCAGCAGGAGCGGGAUUUUACCUUUUCCAUCUGAACAGCAUGAGAAGCCGCUCUCCACUGGCAGCAUCUCCAAGCUGCUGACAACUUUUAAAAAUCUCUCUCUCUGGAAACCCAGUGACAAGACAUGCAGUUUGCCCCACACCUGAGUUUGUGACACACAAGCAGAUCUCUUCCCCGGAAAGUCAAGUCUAAGACCUUCCCCCACUGGAAGGUAAAAACCCUUUGGGGUGCGGGGCUAGAGGCCCUCAGUGCCCCUCACCCCCCCUCCUGCCGGAGAACAGUCAGCACCACACUGUGAACUUAUCAUAGAAUAGAUUUAUUUACCCGAAACCAUGUCUGUGCAAUGCUUGUUUCCAGCACAGAAACAGACAGUUGAUCUCUAUUUACAGUCUAAGUCAAACAUGCUUUGUGAUAAAUUGACGGUUAGCAUUUUAGUAAGAUAAACGCAUCACAAGAGUCGUAUUGCACCAACAUCUGUCUACGGUUUCUGAUUUCAUUAAAUAAGUUACAUUUAAUACAGUGCAAAAGAGCUGUUUG